rnacentral:precursor_RNA from 1 species
CCGCCAAAGAACUGGGCGUAAAGUAACGUAGAACAGCCUUUAAGCUCUUUUCUUUCUCGGGU